ensembl:lncRNA
CCUGCUCUCCUAUUCCUUUUGCUUCUUCUUCCACCACUAAUCCAUCUGACAGAGUGUGGAAGCUCCAGUAGAGACUGCAACCCCACUGCAUCCCCACUGGCACCCAUUCAGGUGCACAGCAGUGGCUCUGACAGCACAUGGACAAGUGCCACUAGCCAGGAUACCAGCUGGGAUGUCACUGGGAUGGCUCAUGAUGGCAUACUUUCCUUGAUCCUGCUCCCACGUUAGUUGUUUCUCAGAAUAUUUCACUACACCAAGGUCACACUUCUGUCUGCUUGGCUCACAUGGUGCAGAGACAGGUAUUUAUGAGUGGGGUUGGAGUUACCCAUACCACUGUAAUUUGGGAAUCAUUACAUGAAUGCUUCUGCUGCUCGCUUAGCUUUGCAACGGGGUGUUGGCAGAGAAGCUGAGGCUUUCCCAGAUUCAUUUCAAGCCAGGCAGACGUGUGCUAGCUGAGGCAUUCACCUCAGCCCAUCCAGAUCAGUUCCAAGCCUGUAGCACAUAGGACAUCAAUGCAGGAGAUGUGGGCACAAGGCCAUGGGUGCUGUUGGCAGAUGGGACCCCACAGCACACAUCUCAAAGGAGAAUUGCUGCCCUGGCACCCUGGUUAAGCUCUAUUUGAAUAACGAGGCACAUAGUUCCCAUAAACCCCCAUUACUGUGGCUCUAAGGGAUGAUUUUAAUACACAGGGAACCAAAAGGUUUGCCAGCAAGUGGGAGCAUAGCUGAGCACUGACAUCCUACAACCUGUGUCCCUCAGAGGGAGUGGACUUCAAACCCAGCAAAGCUCUUCCUUCAGCUCCAGCAGGACUUAGGAGACUGAUGGAGGACAUGGAGACUGCAGAUCUUGUUGGGACCAGGAAACGAUGCAUUGGGAGAGAUGAAGGACGGUCAAACCCUCUUUGCCCACCAAACUUUCGGUGUCCGUCCCAAACUCCCGUCGCUGGGAAGGAGCUGGUAAUGCUGAAGUUUGCUGAUGCUGGAAGCCAACUAGAGGGGGGGGGGGGGAACGAAACAAAAAACGGGAGUUUGCCUUAGUUACUAUUUUAAGCGAUUCCGUCUAAUUUUGAUUAAAGUGAACGUUGUAACAGUUCAAUACAACCUCGUCUCAUCUCUUUAAUAGCUUUCAGAGCGUCUGCGGGAGAAAGAGACCUGAAGGAAGUUAAAUGAUGUCAAGAUUAUUUUUCAUUACUGCAGUUUUGUUACAGUUAGAAAAGCAACAAAUACUGUUAAUCUGGUUCAGUGAGGGGGCAAAGCCUUUAAGUACAGAUGCUUUUUUCUUUACUCAUUAACUUCAUUUGUGAAAAACUCUUGUGAUAUAAUUGCGUGUUUAUAUUUCCUUAGCUCGUUUUCCUUUCUUUUAUUUUCUUUUAUAUAUAUAUAUAUAUUUGCCCCCAUCGAAACUAAAAGUCAGUGCUGCUGAAAAGCGCUGAUUACCCUGACACGUUUCUUCUCCCCCAGUGGAAACGAGGAUGUGUUGAAGCAGAGCAAAUAGGAAAUUCUGACGAGAGAUCUAUUGUUUUUAAGAAAGAGCUGAACAAUAUAUGCCUUGUAAGGCUCUGCUUGUGUGUAUGAGUUAAUUAGAGGCUGUAUAAAUAGCCCCACACAGGUACGUAAGUAGUUUCCGCAAGUUUCCAAAGCUUUGCUAUAGGCUGCACUACGAACAAAAGAAAAUUGGGCUUUUGGGGAGAGAUCUGAGCGUAUAAAAUGUUUUCGCUUUUCUCACCACCGACCCUUCAGCCCUUCCUGCCUCCUCUUCCGUCCCCUCACCGAAGAAACCAAUGAGGCUGAGAUAAGUGUUGCCUCUGCGACUUGGAGGUUUGGGGCUCUUCCCCUCUUCCUUCACAACAGCUUUCUGCCCCAAUACCGGGGGUGUGGGACAGAACGCAUCCUGCCUGCUGCCUACCCAGGCUGAGGGGGGAAGGAGGGGCAGUUGUGGGAAAGAAGAAGGAUUUGGGGGUUGAAAACGGGAAACAGUGCGGCUGGGACGUCUCAUUUGUUGGGAUUUUUUUUCCUCUCCAAACCAACCCCCCCCCUC